UACGGAGGGUGCAAGCGUUAUCCGGAUUCACUGGGUUUAAAGGGUGCGUAGGAGGGCAGGUAAGUCAGUGGUGAAAUCUCCAAGCUUAACUUGGAACUGCCGUUGAUACUAUCUGUCUUGAAUAUUGUGGAGGUGAGCGGAAUAUGUCAUGUAGCGGUGAAACGCUUAGAUAUGACAUAGAACACCAAUUGCGAAGGCAGCUCGCUACUCAAUUAUUGACUCUGAGGCACGAAAGCGUGGGGAUCAAACAGG
rnacentral:rRNA from 1 species